rnacentral:rRNA from 1 species
AUACGGAGGGUGCAAGCGUUAAUCGGAAUUACUGGGCGUAAAGCGUGCGUAGGUGGUUUGUUAAGUCAGACGUGAAAGCCCCGGGCUCAACCUGGGAACUGCAUUUGAAACUGGCAUACUAGAGUAUAGGAGAGGAAAGUGGAAUUUCAGGUGUAGCGGUGAAAUGCGUAGAUAUCUGAAGGAACAUCAAUGGCGAAGGCAGCUUUCUGGACUAAUACUGACACUGAGGUACGAAAGCGUGGGUAGCAAACAGGAUUAGAAACCCUUGUAGUCC